AGUGAACGCUGGCGGCGUGCCCUAAUACAUGCAAGUCGAACGGACAAGUAAGAGCUUGCUCUUAUGAGUUAGUGGCGCACGGGUGAGUAAUGUAUAGCUAAUCUGCCCUACACUAGAGGACAACAGUUGGAAACGACUGCUAAUACUCUAUACUCCUCUUUAACAUAAGUUAGAUAGGGAAAGUUUUUCGGUGUAGGAUGAGGCUAUAUUGUAUCAGCUAGUUGGUGAGGUAAUGGCUCACCAAGGCUAUGACGCAUAACUGGUCUGAGAGGAUGAUCAGUCACACUGGAACUGAGACACGGUCCAGACUCCUACGGGAGGCAGCAGUAGGGAAUAUUGCUCAAUGGGGGAAACCCUGAAGCAGCAACGCCGCGUGGAGGAUGACACUUUUCGGAGCGUAAACUCCUUUUGUUAUGGGAAGAACAAUGACGGACCUA
rnacentral:rRNA from 1 species